rnacentral:rRNA from 1 species
AUUGAACGCUGGCGGCAUGCCUUACACAUGCAAGUCGAACGGCAGCACGGGAGCUUGCUCCUGGUGGCGAGUGGCGAACGGGUGAGUAAUACAUCGGAACGUACCCUGAAGUGGGGGAUAACGUAGCGAAAGUUACGCUAAUACCGCAUAUUCUGUGAGCAGGAAAGAGGGGGAUCGCAAGACCUCUUGCUUUAGGAGCGGCCGAUGUCGGAUUAGCUAGUUGGUGAGGUAAAGGCUCACCAAGGCGACGAUCCGUAGCGGGUCUGAGAGGACGACCAGCCACACUGGAACUGAGACACGGUCCAGACUCCUACGGGAGGCAGCAGUGGGGAAUUUUGGACAAUGGGCGCAAGCCUGAUCCAGCCAUGCCGCGUGAGUGAAGAAGGCCU